AGGAGUGCGGCGGCUACACAUGCAAGUCGGGCGGAACGAUACCAGCUUGCUGGUAGGCGUCGAGCGGCGGACGGGUGAGUAAUACUUAGGAAUCUACCUAGUAGUGGGGGAUAGCUCGGGGAAACUCGAAUUAAUACCGCAUACGACCUACGGGAGAAAGGGGGCAGUUUACUGCUCUCGCUAUUAGAUGAGCCUAAGUCGGAUUAGCUAGAUGGUGGGGUAAAGGCCUACCAUGGCGACGAUCUGUAGCUGGUCUGAGAGGAUGAUCAGCCACACCGGGACUGAGACGCGGCCCGGACUCCUACGGGAGGCAGCAGUGGGGAAUAUUGGACAAUGGGGGAAACCCUGAUCCAGCCAUGCCGCGUGCGUGAAGAAGGCCUUUUGGUUGUAAAGCACUUUAAGCAGUGAAGAAGACUCCUCGGUUAAUACCCGUGGACGAUGACAUUAGCUGCAGAAUAAGCACCGGCUAACUCUGUGCCAGCAGCCGCGGUAAUACAGAGAGUGCAAGCGUUAAUCGGAAUUACUGGGCGUAAAGCGAGCGUAGGUGGCUUGAUAAGUCAGAUGUGAAAUCCCCGGGCUUAACCUGGGAACUGCAUCUGAAACUGUUAGGCUAGAGUAGGUGAGAGGAAGGUAGAAUUCCAGGUGUAGCGGUGAAAUGCGUAGAGAUCUGGAGGAAUACCGAUGGCGAAGGCAGCCUUCUGGCAUCAUACUGACACUGAGGCUCGAAAGCGUGGGUAGCAAACAGGAUUAGAUACCCUGGUAGUCCACGCCGUAAACGAUGUCUACUAGUCGUUGGGUCCCUUGAGGACUUAGUGACGCAGCUAACGCAAUAAGUAGACCGCCUGGGGAGUACGGCCGCAAGGUUAAAACUCAAAUGAAUUGACGGGGGCCCGCACAAGCGGUGAGCAUGUGGUUUAAUUCGAUGCAACGCGAGACCUUACCUGGUCUUGACAUAUCUAGAUCCUGCAGAGAUGCGGGAGUGCCUUCGGGAAUUAGAUACAGUGCUGCAUGGCCUGUCGUCAGCCUCGUGUCGUGAGA
rnacentral:rRNA from 1 species